CCUACGGGUGGCAGCAGUGAGGAAUAUUGGUCAAUGGCCGGAAGGCUGAACCAGCCAAGUAGCGUGAAGGAUGAAGGUUCUAUGGAUUGUAAACUUCUUUUAUACGGGAAUAAAGCCCGCUACGUGUAGCGGUUUGUAUGUACCGUAUGAAUAAGCAUCGGCUAACUCCGUGCCAGCAGCCGCGGUAAUACGGAGGAUGCGAGCGUUAUCCGGAUUUAUUGGGUUUAAAGGGAGCGUAGACGGGGGAUUAAGUCAGUUGUGAAAGGCUGCGGCUCAACCGCAGCACUGCAGUUGAUACUGGUUUCCUUGAGUGCGGUUGAGGUAUGUGGAAUUCGUGGUGUAGCGGUGAAAUGCUUAGAUAUCACGAAGAACUCCGAUUGCGAAGGCAGCAUACUAAGCCGCUACUGACGUUGAGGCUCGAAAGUGUGGGUAUCAAACAGGAUUAGAUACCCGAGUAGUC
rnacentral:rRNA from 1 species